rnacentral:rRNA from 1 species
GCCUAACACAUGCAAGUCGAGCGGCAGCGCGUUAUGUAGCAAUACAUAUUGGCGGCGAGCGGCGGACGGGUGAGGAACACGUAGGAACCUACCCUCGAGUGGGGGAUAACCAAGGGAAACUUUGGCUAAUACCGCAUGAUUUCGAGAGAGCAAAGCUGCCGCAAGGUGGCGCGCGAGGAGGGGCCUGCGUACCGAUUAGCUAGUUGGUGAGGUAAGAGCUCACCAAGGCGAUGAUCAGUAACUGGUCUGAGAGGACGACCAGGCACACGGGGACUGAGACACGGCCCAGACUCCUACGGGAGGCAGCAGUGGGGAAUAUUGGACAAUGGGGGCAACCCUGAUCCAGCGAUGCCGCGUGAGUGAAGAAGGCCUUCGGGUCGUAAAGCUCUUUAGGUUGGGAAGAAGAGUGAUGGAGGAAAUGCUAUCACUUUGACGGUACCGACAGAAUAAGCACCGGCAAACUCUGUGCCAGCAGCCGCCGUAAGAC